ACAAGAUUAAAUAACGGCUUCGGCCAGUCCCUAGCCGAUGUCCACUAGUAGUUGCGUCUGACUAGAAUCGGUAGCGCAUCUAACGCGUGAAGUAAACCGGCUGGGGAAUACGGUCGCCAGAUUACGACUCAAUGGAUUGGACGGACGGGUUCCUCGGAAUUACUGGGCGUAAAGGGUGCGCAGGUGGUUGAUUAAGUGUGAUGUGAAAGCCCCGGGCUCAACCUGGGAAUUGCAUUGCAAACUGGUCAACUAGAGUAUGGCAGAGGGGGGUGGAAUUCCGCGUGUAGCAGUGAAAUGCGUAGAGAUGCGGAGGAACACCGAUGGCGAAGGCAACCCCCUGGGCUAAUACUGACACUCAUGCACGAAAGCGUGGGGAGCAAACAGGAUUAGAUACCCUGGUAGUCCACGCCCUAAACGAUGUCUACUAGUUGUCGGGGAAUUCGUUCCUUAGUAACGCAGCUAACGCGUGAAGUAGACCGCCUGGGGAGUACGGCCGCAAGGCUAAAACUCAAA
rnacentral:rRNA from 1 species